GGAAAAACUGCCUCAAAGUUUGUCUUUUUGAAUUUCUUUUUCAAAUUGUUGAAUAUGCCAGGAAAUGAGACUUGUCAAAUCCAUAUCCUUCCGAGUUAACGAAUGCAUUUCCUUCAGACUUUUUAACUUAAAUCACAGUGAUGUGGGAAAAGAUAAUUGGUAGUUGUUAUUCUUUGAAUUGUAUAAAGUGCAUCAAUAUGGUAAUCUAUUGACUGUUGAUUCUGGCUUGGAACAAUUUGGUCUGAUAUGGAUAGACGGGCACAAAGAUGGACACUAGCCAAAUGAAGAG
rnacentral:misc_RNA from 1 species